rnacentral:rRNA from 1 species
UCGGGAAUUUUGGGCAAUGGGCGAAAGCCUGACCCAGCAACGCCGCGUGAGGGAUGAAGUAUUUCGGUAUGUAAACCUCGAAAGAAUGGGAAGAAUAAAUGACGGUACCAUUUAUAAGCUCCGGCUAACUACGUGCCAGCAGCCGCGGUAAUACGUAGGGAGCAAGCGUCGUUCGGAUUUACUGGGCGUAAAGGGCGCGUAGGCGGCGCGGUAAGUCACUUGUGAAAUCUCUGAGCUUAACUCAGAACGGCCAAGUGAUACUGCUGGGCUAGAGUGCGAAAGAGGCAACCGGAAUUCUUGGUGUAGCGGUGAAAUGCGUAGAUAUCAAGAGGAACACCUGAGGCGAAGGCGGGUUGCUGGGCCGACACUGACGCUGAUGCGCGAAAGCCAGGGGAGCAAACG